UGUGGGGUGAUUUUCUUCACAGCCUCCGCAGGCGUUCUGCCAGGAUGGAGGGAGUCUGAGAGCGGUGUACGCAGCCCUCGCUUCUAGCUAAGAGGCGUUCUGUGAUGCCAAAUGCCGCACCUGUAGCUCUGGCUGCAGCAUGUCUCAGGUGUGCGCGCCGCUGGCUCGCAGUGAGAGGGAAUGGCAUCGCUGAGGGCGUCCAGCUCACAUCGGGUCGUACCGAGCGCAGCGCCUGCACUCCGUUCUUUGGUCGCAUCCUCCAGCGCAGGUGUUCUGCCCCCGAUUACUGUUUCGGUCCAACAAGCAGCGUGCGCCCUUCUCCCCCUUCCACGUCACGCCGUUGUCGUUUAUCUUCGCACGUCGAUCAGGCUCCGGAAGCGCCUCCGCAGCUUUUUGCCCCCUCGAGGCCGCCGUCGGUACUGUCCGGCCCCGCCCCGGG
rnacentral:lncRNA from 1 species